AGAAUUGCUUCAAUCUGGGUGAAUAGCGUCGUGAGCUCCUCGAACGUCAAAUUCGCAUUUCCUAUUACACGUUUCAUUAGUAACUUUGCUGAACGGAUUCCAGCCUCGUUCAGCCCCCUCCAGUGAGGGGAAUAAGCGGGCGAAAAAUGAAAUUUAAUGCCCUCGUCGUGGGCAGCCGCACUAACAGAACUUUGGCUUGCCUGCAACAUUCUGCCUAGCUCAUUAUUUGCACCCACAAAGUUGGUGCCAUUGUCACAAUAAAUAUCAUGAGGCUUGCCACGACGUGAUAUAAAUCUACGCAAACACAUUAAAAAUGCUUCAGUACUCAGACUACUAACCACCUCCAAAGUUAAUGCCUUAGUGCUUAAACACACAAAAAGACUAAGCCAACAUUUGGAUAUCUUACAUCCUCUGCCCUUGCGGUCUACGAUUGAGAAGGGCCCGCCAAAGUCUACGCCUGUCGCGAGGAAGGGAUAGGUAAGAGUGACUCGAGGAGGGGGUAAGUUACCCAUCAUAGGCUGUAUUGAGUUACUCUGCAAACGAACACACACGAUACAUUUCCUAAAUGUACUGCGUGCAAGAUUACGUCCCCCGAUGGGCCAAUAUUGAUCUCGUAUAAUGCUAAGUAAUAAUUCAGGCCCACAAUGUUUAUGACGCACAUGUUCUUUCUGAAACAACAGUUUCGUAAAGUUAUGACGUGCACAUAAUAAAAUGGGAUGUUUUUUAGAAUACUCACAGAUUGAGUUUUGGAUUCUGCCUCCAACCCUAAUCAAAUCAUGCUCAUCUAAGUAAGGGUUUAGUGACAAAAUCCUCGAUUUAUGAUGUAUCUUUUUAUUGUUUUUUAAUGAUUGCACCUCAUUUGGAAAGGAAUCUUGUUGGCAGGUUUUGAUUAGGGUCUGAGUAGACCUAUCUAUUUCAUCGUUACUCAGAUCACCACUUAGCCGCGAAUCCUUCUUUGUUUUACAAUUGUGAAUAAAUCUUAAGAUAUAUCCUACCACCCGGAUCAUUCGUUGAAAUUUCGAGAACCUAUCAAACUCAAAUGAAUGCUCAGCAGACACACAACAUGAAUAUACUUUGAGCUCCGGAAGCUCAACAUUUUCUAUAGGAGCGCUUGGCCACUCCGUUUUAGGUUUCAUUAAAAAGGGUGGGCCACUCCACCAUAAUUCUAAAUCUUGAAGCUUGCUAGGGCUGACUCCUCGAGAAGCUAUGUCUGCCGGAUUCAUUUCUGUAGAAAUGUGAUGCCAUGUAGAUUUGUCAGUCAGUUCAUGAAUUUCAUUUACUCGAUUGUAAACAAAUUGCUUUAGAUUACUAGGGUUGGUAUUUUUAAUCCAUCCCAGCACAAUUGUAGAAUCACUCCAGAAAUAUUUUUGAUCAAACUUACGACUGAGUGACUGACAAACCUUUGAACUUAACUGAGCACCAAGCAGGGCCGCUGCCAGUUCCAGCCGCGGUAUAGUACUGGGCUUCAAGGGGGCAACCCUAGCCUUGGCGCAUAAUAACUUGACUGAUACGUUGUCCUCUUGAUCAGUACAACGUAUAAAUACACAUGCUGCAAAUGCACUCUGAGAACUAUCGACAAAACAGUGUAAUUCCACUGACACUGGAGUGUCCGACGAUGGAUGCAAAACGUGGCGUGGAAUAUUUAUCGCUUUUAUUUGAUUUAAAUUAUUUACAAAGUCACUCCACUGUUUCGAUACAUCGGCGGACACCAAAUCAUCCCAGUCCAGUUUAGACUCCCACAACCUUUGUAACAGCAUUUUAGGAACAAUUGUACAAGCGCUUAGCAACCCUAGGGGGUCAAAAAUCUUGCAUGUUGCUGCCAGAAUAGUUCUCUUUGUGAACGGCUGUUCAAUCUGAAAGUCGACUGAAAAAUACAGCUUAUCCUGUGAGGGACACCAAUUCAACCCCAGCACUGAUGAUUGAUUCUGUAAGUUAGAGUACUGAUCAUUUGUCUGGGAUAAAUCCUUUUCAGUACAUGUGGUUGAAAUGGGUUCACUCGCAAAUAUACUCGGAAUGUUAGUUCUAAAUUUUCUAAGUGGGAGGCAAGCCUCAGCCAACUUGUCGACGACUGCAUCACGUAAGUAUUUGAGUUCUGUUUUAUUAUCACAACCGGUUAUAAGAUCGUCACAGUAAAAAUCGUUUUUUAUAGUAUUAGCUACUCGUUUGUCUGAACACUCUGUUGAUAACUGAACUAAACAUCUGGUGGUCAGAUAAGGGGCUGAUGCUGUCCCAUACGUUACAGUAUUGAGCUGCAAUGUUCGCAAAGGCUGAGCUUCAUUGUCUCGCCAUAAUAUCAGCUGUAAGUGACGUUGCGAUUCAUCCAGUUUUACUUGGCGGAACAUUUUUUCAAUGUCCCCCGUUAAUACAUACUUGUGCUGGCGGAAUCGCAACAAAAUUGACAUCAAAUCAUUUUGUACUACUGGGCCCACAUACUGGAUAUCAUUUAACGAUUUACCUGAUGCUGUGCGAGCAGAGCCGUUAAAAACGACCCGAAGUUUUGUGGUCUCGCUUUUCUCUCGCAGCACCGCGUGAUGAGGUAAAUAAUUUCCAAUAGGCGGCUUCUCUAUUUCUGUCAAAUGACCUAACGUAGCAUAUUCAUGUAUAAAAUCACUAUACAUUUCCUUUAAUUUCGGCUGCUUUUGGAAACGCCUUUCCAAAUUUAAAAAACAUCUCUUAGCAAGUGAGUAAGAGUCUCCAAGAGCCUCAGGAGACUCGCGCAAAGGCAUUUUUACUUGGAAUCUACCAGACGGUAAGCGAAUUGUAUUUUCAUUAAAGGAAUCUUCACAGAUUUGUUCAUCUGUAGACAAUGAUCGUUUUGGCAUUAUGAAAUUUUCCAAGUCCCAAAAUUUAGAAAGUGAGUCUUUAAUUUCCUGACUAAAAUGACAUACAGAUUUCUUGUUACACUUCACAGAUGGCAUGGCCAGAGUCAUGGGCCCUGAAACCAACCAUCCAAACUUCGAAUAAAUUAACUUAGGUUUAUUUUCACCUAACGAUAUCUGGCAACCUCCCUUAACAAUAUUCCACAUUACAUCGGACCCAAUUAAUAUAUCAACUUUGUUACUUUUAUGGAAGUUUGGAUCGGCGAGUGCAGUAUUGUUGGGUAUGUUUAAAUCCUCGGGAUCGAUUUCUACACUAGGUAAGUUUUCUGAAAUAUUUGAUAUAAUCAUACAAUGUACAUCCGUAGUGUAGGCAUUAAUUCUUGACUUUAAUUUUAAUGUACAAUAUUCAGUGGCUGUAGAUAUUGAAUUGUUCAGUCCACUUAUACACCGUGACUUAGUACUAUUAGUUUUAAUUUUAAGUUUAUUUUUCAGGUUAUCUGUGACAAACGAACUUUGACUUCCACAGUCCAAAAGAACGCGUGCCAGGUAAGUACUGUUGUCACGCUCAACGACGACUUCAACCACUGCAGUGCCCAGGAGGACUUCGCUGUUACUCGAGUAUGAGGCUCUGCAGGAGCUGAGACGACAGUUGGAAGUGGAAUGCCCUGGACGAAGACAAUUGGAGCAGAGCUUGCGUUUGGAAACUUCUGCUUCCCUGGCUUCGAUACUCAAAUUCUUAAAUUGAUCACAUUUAUACACACGAUGAUUCUCAUUACACAUAAAACAUGAUCCAUUUGGCGUAGAUGAGAAAAAAGUUUUAA